GACGAACGCUGGCGGCGUGCUUAACACAUGCAAGUCGAACGAAGUGGCGAACGGGUGAGUAACGCGUAAUCAACCUGCCCUUCAGAGGGGGACAACAGUUGGAAACGACUGCUAAUACCGCAUACUGAAGGAGGGGAUUGCGUCUGAUUCGCUAGUUGGAGGGGUAACGGCCCACCAAGGCGAUGAUCAGUCGACGGUCUGAGAGGAGGAACGGCCACCUUGGGACUGGGACACGGCCCAGAAUCCUACGGGAGGGAGCAGGGGGGAAUCUUCCGCAAUGGACGAAAGUCUGACGGAGCAACGCCGCGGGAGUGAUGACGGCCUUCGGGUUGGAAAGCUCUGUUAAUCGGGACGCGGUACCGGAAUAGAAAGCCACGGCUAACUACGUGCCAGCAGCCGCGGUAAUAC
rnacentral:rRNA from 1 species